GACGAACGCUGGCGGCGUGCUUAACACAUGCAAGUCGAACGGAAAGGCCCUGCUUUUGAGGGUGCUCGAGUGGCGAACGGGUGAGUAACACGUGAGUAACCUGCCCUUGACUUUGGGAUAACUUCAGGAAACUGGGGCUAAUACCGGAUAGGAGCUCCUGCUGCAUGGUGGGGGUUGGAAAGUUUCGGCGGUUGGGGAUGGACUCGCGGCUUAUCAGCUUGUUGGUGGGGUAGUGGCUUACCAAGGCUUUGACGGGUAGCCGGCCUGAGAGGGUGACCGGCCACAUUGGGACUGAGAUACGGCCCAGACUCCUACGGGAGGCAGCAGUGGGGAAUAUUGCACAAUGGGCGGAAGCCUGAUGCAGCAACGCCGCGUGCGGGAUGACGGCCUUCGGGUUGUAAACCGCUUUCGCCUGUGACGAAGCGUGAGUGACGGUAAUGGGUAAAGAAGCACCGGCUAACUACGUG
rnacentral:rRNA from 1 species